UUGUUUUUGCCAUUUCCGAAGAACAUUAUUAAUUAAUCUAGUUGAUUCAACAUAUAUGUCACAAAUAUGGAUUAUAUGUCAUGCAUCUUUAAAAGUAUAAUACAAUAUUAUGUCUCAAGACUGCGUUGAAUUCUGUCUUUGAAAUAAAAAAAAAAAAAAGAAAAAAAGAAAAAAGAGAUUUGUCCCUAUUAUCUGAACUAUUUUUGGGACGAGUAAUAGAAAGCCAACCUUUUUCAUUCACAUAAGCCAAUGUUUUUUCAAAUUGUUUUGUUUAUUUUAGAUUCUAGAUCGUAAAUCAACUGUAAAUUCUAGAAAAAGUUAUGCUUUGUCUUCACAACCAAACGGGUUUAUAUAUUUACUAUCUUUGUAUUUCUAUAUUUCUAUCUCAGAGACAAUAUUCAAAUAAUGUAGUGCAAUGCUAAACACCAUUAAGAGAUGCCAUCUUAUGUUGAUAAGAGAAAAUUUUGACAGUCAACAUUACAUAACCAACAUUGCAGCUAAUAUUUAAUAUAAGAAAAAAAAAAUCUAAAAUCCCUAAAAAUAAAAACAUUCAAAACUGAAUUAAAAAAAAAUUCAAAAUUUAAAAUUAAUAAAAGCUCAUCUUUAGUAGGUUUUAUACAGGAUUUGUUAGGCAACUUGUUAUACUGUUGACUAAAAUUGGCUGCUAUAAUGUUGUUCGCUCACAUUACUUACAAAUUUUAAAUUCGCAACUAAAACAGAGAAAAAAAUGUGAUUGAAUUGAUUAAUUAAUUGAGAAAUGUUAAGAGCCAAUACAUUUUAUCAAUAUUAGUCAAUAUUUAAUGUAAUACUUUAUUUUUAAAAGUUUAGGACUUAAAAUUAGUAUUUAAAACUUAAAAGUAUUGACUAAAAAUUAUAAAUUUUAUUGGUGAUAUAGUAUUUUUUAUCUAAACACAAAUUUCACUUUGAGAAAGAAGGCACGUGUAUUGCUGGAAUCAAAACAGCUCUAAAAGUAUUAAGUAAUAAGGCAUCUAUGGUUGCAUGUGUAUCAAACAAGAAAUAGUGGACACCUCACACUGCAGGACCUGGUUAUGCAGUUUUUCCCCCUUUACAAGUUUGAUAUUUAGUCUAAAAAUUUAGAAGUAAAUUGUCAUAUGUCACACAUGAACAUGUGCAUCCCCCAAAGUUGAAGAGCUAUCCAAGAAUUAAUUAAUCAUGAUAAUAGUUAAGAAGAGAUACUAUUGAAUUCUUGGUGAUUGAUAAGUGAUAGGUGUGGGGUUUCACUCAAUAUAAUUACACUCAACCGACAAAGGUAUGGUAAAGUUGUUGUUGAAGCCACAUGUGAUUCUUCAAAUCCAUGAACAGCUAGCACCACCACCAACCAUUUAAUUAAUAAUUACCAAGCAUCCAUGACCAUGACCAAUUGCCAAGAUCUGACUAGGACAAUUUGGUACCAUCCACAACUCUUUAAUAAUAGUUGUAUAAUAUUUAAACUUUAAUUAAAUUAAAUUUAACCCUAAAUCCAAUCACUACCUAUAUAACUCUAUAGGUUCAGGUGUUUUUGUUGCUUUGUUUUACAUCAUUAUUAAGCAAAUGUUGACCUUUAUAAUGUAGAAAAUAUUGCUCUAAUCCAAAAUUUCCUAAGCUAGUGACAUGAAAUGUAGAAUGAUAUUAUACGCACCAAUAAGUAAAGACAAGAGGGAAGAAAAAUAUUUAAAAAUAGAGAUAAGAUGUAAAAUAUAACUAUAUAAAUAACUAAGGGCCUUAACCCCAUGAAAAUAAUUAUGAUCUUAAUUGAUCAUUGCAGUUUGCAGUUUUGCACCAUAUAAAUAUUUAAAAAGACAACUCGUGGUACAACUAUUCAGGUUUCAGAGUUUUUCACAUCGUCCUGAUCUAAGCCAUUUAAAUAAGAUUCAUAACCACACAUCAUAUUAGCAUAAAAAAAUGGUUUGAUUCAUAUCUUAAUUACUAUUAGAUGGGAUAUUAUAUCUGAUCCUAAUAACACCAAAUCCAUUAAUAAGAAUGUGUGUGUAUGUUUAAUGAACAAUAUAAAAUUAAGUAUAUUAUCAAUACUAAUAACAAAACCCAGAAUAAUAAGAAUAGACAUUGAAAGGCAAAGUAAAAGUAAAAAAAAAAACCAACCUGUGUAGAGUUUAAAAGAUGUUGGGAGACUCCUUUGCUUAAUGACCCACCAAAUCUCUGAUUUAUUAAGACUAUAUAGACCCGGGUCUAUAAUCAUAGGCUUCCCUCUCUUAUUACUGAAAAAAGGGUAUUAAAAAAAA